rnacentral:tRNA from 1 species
GCCUGGGUGGCUCAGUAGGUUAAGCGUCUGACUUCAACUCAGGUCAUGAUCUGGCAGUUCGUGAGUUCAAGCCCUGCAUCGGGCU